CCUACGGGGGGCUGCAGUGGGGAAUAUUGGACAAUGGGGGGAACCCUGAUCCAGCCAUGCCGCGUGUGUGAAGAAGGCCCUCGGGUUGUAAAGCACUUUCAGUGAGGAAGAACGCCUGGUGGUUAAUACCCAUCAGGAAAGACAUCACUCACAGAAGAAGCACCGGCUAACUCCGUGCCAGCAGCCGCGGUAAUACGGAGGGUGCGAGCGUUAAUCGGAAUUACUGGGCGUAAAGCGCGCGUAGGUGGCUUGAUAAGUCGGUUGUGAAAGCCCCGGGCUCAACCUGGGAACGGCAUCCGGAACUGUCAAGCUAGAGUGCAGGAGAGGAAGGUAGAAUUCCCGGUGUAGCGGUGAAAUGCGUAGAGAUCGGGAGGAAUACCAGUGGCGAAGGCGGCCUUCUGGACUGACACUGACACUGAGGUGCGAAAGCGUGGGUAGCAAACAGGAUUAGAUACCCUAGUAGUC
rnacentral:rRNA from 1 species